GGGGGUAUAGCUCAGUGUUAGUGUGUGCUUGGCAAGCACGAGGUCCUGGGUUCAAUCCCUGGUGCCUCGG
rnacentral:tRNA from 1 species